GGCAUUGUGGCGGAGUGGUUAACGCGGUUGACUCGAAUGGUCUCUCUUCGGAGAGGGAUUCCAGAAAUCAACUUCCUUCGGGAGCGCAUGUUCGAAUCAUGUCAAUGUCG
rfam:Trichosporon asahii var. asahii CBS 8904 unplaced genomic scaffold scaffold00035, whole genome shotgun sequence.